UACGGAGGGGGCUAGCGUUGUUCGGAAUUAUUGGGCGUAAAGGGCGCGUAGGCGGCUUUUCAAGUGGCGGGUGAAAGCCCUCGGCUUAACCGAGGAACUGCCUGCCAGACUGAAUGGCUUGAGACCGGGAGAGGUGAGUGGAAUUCCCAGUGUAGCGGUGAAAUGCGUAGAUAUUGGGAGGAACACCAGUGGCGAAGGCGGCUCACUGGACCGGUACUGACGCUGAGGCGCGAAAGCGUGGGGAGCAAACAGG
rnacentral:rRNA from 1 species